GUAGGUGGCAAGCGUUGUCCGGAAUUAUUGGGCGUAAGGCGCGCGCAGGUGGUUCUUUAAGUCUGAUGUGAAAGCCCCCGGCUCAACCGGGGAGGGUCAUUGGAAACUGGGGAACUUGAGUGCAGGAGAGGAAAGUGGAAUUCCACGUGUAGCGGUGAAAUGCGUAGAUAUGUGGAGGAACACCAGUGGCGAAGGCGACUUUCUGGCCUGUAACUGACACUGAGGCGCGAAAGCGUGGGGAGCAAACAGGGAUUAGAUACCCUGGUAGUCCACGCCGUAAACGAUGAGUGCUAAGUGUUGGGGGGGUUUCCCGCCCCUCAGUGCUGCAGCUAACGCAUUAAGCACUCCGCCUGGGGAGUACGGUCGCAAGACUG
rnacentral:rRNA from 1 species